GGCCGGUUAGCUCAGUUGGUUAGAGUGUGGUGUUAAUAAUGCCAAGGUCACAGGUUCAGUCCCUAUACUGGCCA